rnacentral:lncRNA from 1 species
UGGCCCGGGUCGGGUCUUCCACUCCACUGUUUGGCUCGGAGAGGACGAAGACGAGCUCGGUGCGCAGGGGGCCGGCAGCGGCCAUAAAUCACCACGCGGGCCCUCCUUCCCGCAGCUCACGCGCGGGGCCUCGCGGCCGGCUUCGCGUCCCGGGCCGCACCGGGCGCCCUGCUCUCCCGGUCAGCGCCUGGGGGACCCGAGACUGUGCGGGGAACCUGGCCAGCAGUUUCCCCGUUCGCCAAAGACAGGGACCGGCCUCGCCGACUCGGUGCCACCAUCAUGCAUCCUUGCGGUCGCCAGACCCCGAAGCAACCCGGGCCUCACCGGAUCGCUGCCUAGGGAAUUAUUCAAGGCUGGUUUCGGUUCUCUUCUGGCGACGACCGCAUCUUCGUACUCAAGGCACAGAUUACGGGUCAGCUCAAUUCGCCAGCGGCCGGAGGCUGCCUCCAAGCACCGAGCAGGACGGGAGGGAUGCUCUGCAAGCCGCGUCCGGCUGGAGGCGGCGGAGGCCUGAACGGGUCAUGGUCCCCGAAGUCACUAGGGACAGGGGACGUGGAUGGAAUAUAAGAGGGGAGAUCGACAGUCAAUCCCACCUCUGUCCCUUUCCGCCUGUGACCCCGGUCAGCUCAGUCUUCUCAUCUGUGACAUGGGCGUUGACACGAGUGUUCAGCAUGGGAACCCACCCCCGUCGUCUUCCACUGGUGCUGUCACCCGCGGCCUGGCUGAGCCGGGCACAGUGGGAGCCUCUGCAGGGCCCAGGGAAGGGGCAUGGCGGUGCCGAAGGACACGAGAAAUGGAAAGAGAGGGUUCAGCCACUCUGGCCUCCCAGGGGCGGCGAUGUGAGAACACGGCCCCAAGAUCCUUUGACGCUCCUCCUGUGGAAAGGUGGGGUUCCCGUUCCCUCCCCUUGAUGCUGGCCUCCAUGGCAGAAGGUGACGGAGUCGACAGUCCUCCCAGAACUGCCAGCUCCUGCUUUUUGCCUCUUGGGUGCUCCCUCUUGGAACCCAGCCGCCAUGCUGCGAGGAAGCCCAGAGGUCCCGAGGACAGGCCCGCGUGGAAGGCCCGGUUGUGCGUGUGUGUGUGUGUGUGUGAGCUCCUCAGAAAAGGGCAUCCAGCCCCAGUAGGUGCCCCAGCAGACGCCACGUGGAGCGGGGGUGAGCUGACCCUGCCAAGAUCGGCCCAAAUUGCAGAUUCACAAGCAAAUAAAUAAUUGUCGUCAUUGUGAGCCAGGAGCAUUGGGGUGGUGUGUUACACGGCAAUAGGUGACUAAAACGCAAGGUUCAGCUGAAA